rnacentral:rRNA from 1 species
GACGAACGCUGGCGGCGUGCUUAACACAUGCAAGUCGGACGAAGAGCGAUGGAAGCUUGCUUCUAUCAAUCUUAGUGGCGCACGGGUGAGUCACGCGUAAUCAACCUGCCCUUCAGAGGGGGACAAUAGUUGGAAACGACUGCUAAUACCGCAUACGAUCUAAUCUCGGCAUCGAGGAUAGAUGAAAGGUGGCCUCUACAUGUAAGCUAUCACUGAAGGAGGGGAUUGCGUCUGAUUAGCUAGUUGGAGGGGUAACGGCCCAACAAAGCGAUGAUCAGUAGGCGGUCUGAGAGGAUGAACGGCCACCUUGGGACUGAGACAAGGCCCAGACUCCUACGGGAGGCAGCAGUGGGGAAUCUUCCGCAAAAGACGAAAGGCCGACGGAGCAACGCCGCGUGGGUGAUGACGGCCUUCGGGUUGGAAAGCUCUGUUAAUCGGGACGAAAGGCCUUCUUGCGAAAAGUUAGAAGGAUUGACGGUACCGGAAUAGAAAGCCACGGCUAACUACGUG